rnacentral:lncRNA from 1 species
CUGCCCUCUCUCAUCUUCUUCAAGAGAUGUUCUCUAUCAUAAUUCUCUUUGUCACUUAUUACAGCUAAUGUUAAAUGGCUUUUCAGCUAAAUGCUUGUUUGGGUUAUUUAUUAACUAGGGAACAUUUACAUUGGCAUACUUUGAUGUUAAACAUGCAAUGGAGAACCCAUUUGUAGGCUAUAGUGGAUUAACGAGAAAUUCAGGGAAUCGUAUUCAGAGGGAUUAACUCUUAGGCAGUGGAUUACCUCCAGUCGGUUAGCUUCAUUGGAGGAGAUGGAAGCAGCCCCUGGCACACAGAUCUGUAUUCAGGUUGUAACACCCAGAAGAGUAAGCACAGAAUAUUUACAGUAAAAAUGAACAGUGUGGAACUGUGACAGAUGGGCAUUAAUCUGUCAUCAAUUACAUCGGACACAGAACAGAACAAAGUUGGGAAGCUGAUCCUGAUGCAGAUGUGGAAGCCAGCUCUAAAGAAAAAGCUUUAUCCUCACUCAGAGUCCUGUGACACGGAGAGAAGAUCCAGGAUCAGAAAUUCCUGAUGGAGAUUUGGAAACCUGGAGAAUCUGGACUUUCAGAAACUCAGUCUGCUUCUUUCGUGGAUCAGAAUGUGGCACCAUUUCUCACAGAGUGGAAACCCUUCUGGAUGAGGCUGUUAUUGCUGAGCCAGUGCCAGGCCCCACUUUGGGUGCAGCAUUUGGAGCGGCGCUGAGCUCCGGCUGGUCACACAGCAGAGAAGCAGAGCUUGUUCCCUCAGGCAUGGAACAACACUAAUGUAAUUAUGCAGCUUUUAGGUCUAGAGCUAAUAUUUCCAACAGAAAUCAGAGCUGUGUUAUACCAGAUUGGCCAGUACUAACCCGAGGAUCUCUUUGUGAGAGAGGAUAAAGCCUUUUCUGAUGGAUACAGGGAUAUCUUUCUCAUUUGUGCCAACACCUGAUGCUAAGAAAUUAUGUUACUGAUAUUGGAACUAUCAGCAGAUCUCACUGCAAGUGUUAAACAUGGGACAGAAAUCUCUCUUUUUAAUAAAAAAAUAGGAUUAGAUUGAAACUAACUCCA